rnacentral:rRNA from 1 species
AUUGAACGCUGGCGGCAGGCCUAACACAUGCAAGUCGAGCGGAUGAAGGGAGCUUGCUCCUGGAUUCAGCGGCGGACGGGUGAGUAAUGCCUAGGAAUCUGCCUGGUAGUGGGGGAUAACGUCCGGAAACGGGCGCUAAUACCGCAUACGUCCUGAGGGAGAAAGUGGGGGAUCUUCGGACCUCACGCUAUCAGAUGAGCCUAGGUCGGAUUAGCUAGUUGGUGGGGUAAAGGCCUACCAAGGCGACGAUCCGUAACUGGUCUGAGAGGAUGAUCAGUCACACUGGAACUGAGACACGGUCCAGACUCCUACGGGAGGCAGCAGUGGGGAAUAUUGGACAAAGGGCGAAAGCCUGAUCCAGCCAUGCCGCGUGUGUGAAGAAGGUCUUCGGAUUGUAAAGCACUUUAAGUUGGGAGGAAGAGCAGUAAGUUAAUACCUUGCUGUUUUGACGUUACCAAAAGAAUAAGCACCGGCUAACUUCGUG